AAGAGUUAGCUUGGGGGAAAAUAGCUGCCCGAGUCAAUGCGUGCAAUCCUGCAGGCAUAAAAAGAACGUGGCAGCAGCUAAAAAUGAAAUAUAAAAACAUAAUUCAAACAGCCAACAGAAAGAAGGCAGAGGCCAGAAAAACUGGUGGAGGCCCUGCACCACCACCACUGACACAUGCAGAGGAGAUGGCCCUCAGCCUAAACACUGGAAAGCCAGUGGCUGAGGGAAUUCCUGGAGGGAGUUCAUCAGAACCAGUCACUCCCCAGGAUACAAGUGCAUUCAUUACAUGUAAGAGGCCUACCUAUAUAUUCUAUUUUUUACAUAGGCUACUUUUGAUAUAUCCAUUUAUUACACUCUGG